rnacentral:rRNA from 1 species
AGAAUCAACGCUGGCGGCGUGCCUAACACAUGCAAGUCGAACGAGAAAGUGGAGCAAUCCAUGAGUAAAGUGGCGACCGGGUGAGUAACACGUGACUAACCUACCCUAGAGUGGGGAAUAACUUCGGGAAACCGAGGCUAAUACCGCAUAACAUCGCAGAGGGAAGCUCUUUGCGAUCAAAGGAGUAAUUCGCUCAAGGAGGGGGUCGCGGCUGAUUAGCUAGUUGGUGAGGUAACGGCCCACCAAGGCUAAGAUCAGUAUCCGGCCUGAGAGGGCGCACGGACACACUGGAACUGAAACACGGUCCAGACUCCUACGGGAGGCAGCAGUGGGGAAUAUUGCGCAAUGGGCGAAAAGCCUGACGCAGCGACGCCGCGUGGGGGAUGAAGGCCUUCGGGUUGUAAACCCCUUUCAGCAGGGACGAAGCGAAAGUGACGGUACCUGCAGAAGAAGCGCCGGCUAACUACGUGCCAGCAGCCGCGGU